rnacentral:rRNA from 1 species
GGCCUAACACAUGCAAGUCGAGCGGUAGCACAGAGAGCUUGCUCUCGGGUGACGAGCGGCGGACGGGUGAGUAAUGUCUGGGAAACUGCCUGAUGGAGGGGGAUAACUACUGGAAACGGUAGCUAAUACCGCAUAACGUCGCAAGACCAAAGAGGGGGACCUUCGGGCCUCUUGCCAUCAGAUGUGCCCAGAUGGGAUUAGCUAGUAGGUGGGGUAACGGCUCACCUAGGCGACGAUCCCUAGCUGGUCUGAGAGGAUGACCAGCCACACUGGAACUGAGACACGGUCCAGACUCCUACGGGAGGCAGCAGUGGGGAAUAUUGCACAAUGGGCGCAAGCCUGAUGCAGCCAUGCCGCGUGUAUGAAGAAGGCCUUCGGGUUGUAAAGUACUUUCAGCGGGGAGGAAGGUGCUGAGGUUAAUAACCUCAGCAAUUGACGUUACCCGCAGAAGAAGCACCGGCUAACUCCGUGCCAGCAGCCGCGGUAAUACGGAGGGUGCAAGCGUUAAUCGGAAUUACUGGGCGUAAAGCGCACGCAGGCGGUCUGUCAAGUCGGAUGUGAAAUCCCCGGGCUCAACCUGGGAACUGCAUUCGAAACUGGCAGGCUAGAGUCUUGUAGAGGGGGGUAGAAUUCCAGGUGUAGCGGUGAAAUGCGUAGAGAUCUGGAGGAAUACCGGUGGCGAAGGCGGCCCCCUGGACAAAGACUGACGCUCAGGUGCGAAAGCAUGGGGAGCAAACAGGAUUAGAUACCCUGGUAGUCCACGCCGUAAACGAUGUCGACUUGGAGGUUGUGCCCUUGAGGCGUGGCUUCCCGGAGCUAACGCGUUAAGUCGACCGCCUUGGGGAGUACGGGCCGCAAGGUUAAAAACUCAAAUGAAAUUGACGGGGGGCCCGCACAAAGCGGUGGAA